rnacentral:rRNA from 1 species
AUUGAACGCUGGCGGAAUGCUUUACACAUGCAAGUCGAACGGCAGCACGGACUUCGGUCUGGUGGCGAGUGGCGAACGGGUGAGUAAUGUAUCGGAACGUGCCCAGUCGUGGGGGAUAACGUAGUGAAAAUUACGCUAAUACCGCAUACGAUCUAUGGAUGACAGCGGGGGAUCGCAAGACCUCGCGCGAUUGGAGCGGCCGAUAUCAGAGUAGGUAGUUGGUGGGGUAAAGGCCCACCAAGCCAACGAUCUGUAGCUGGUCUGAGAGGACGACCAGCCACACUGGAACUGAGACACGGUCCAGACUCCUACGGGAGGCAGCAGUGGGGAAUUUUGGACAAUGGGCGAAAGCCUGAUCCAGCCAUUCCGCGUGCAGGAUGAAGGCCCUCGGGUUGUAAACUGCUUUUGUACAGAACGAAAAGGUUUCUACUAAUACAAGGAGCUCAUGACGGUACUGUAAGAAUAAGCACCGGCUAACUACGUGCCAGCCGCCGCGGUAA